AAUAGGAGAAUAACAAAUUAAAUUUUUCCUCUCGAUUUUUAGCUUUUUUUCUUCUGAAAAAAAUUCAAAUCCAAUUGAAAAUGCUAAAAAUCAAGAGGAAAAACUUAUUUGUCAUUAUCUUAUU
rnacentral:pre_miRNA from 1 species